AAGCACCCUUUGAUGACGUAAUCGGGGAGCAUGAUUUUUCCAUUUGCCUGAAUGUUCUCAACGAAACGUGGAUGAUUUUGUUACAGGUGGAAGGCGGGAGGACGAGAAGACAGGAGGAGGUAGACGGGAAUGGAGACGGUGAGAGCGGAGCUCGGAUGAGGAGGAGCGACGCCUUGAUUGACGCCGCCGUCACCGCCGCCGUCGCCGUCGGCACCACCACUCGAGGAGACGGUGGUCACGGCCGUCAAGGUUCCAGCCCAGUAAGGCUCCCGACCUAAUAAAAUGCCUUAUCUUCAACGCCGUUAUCACGCGCCUCUCAAGAAGCGUGCAGUUCGGACAAGGUUUUAAUUAGAACCCCAAAAAAUCAAUACAUAUUCAAUCACCCCCUCUCCGAACAAAUGGCGUAAUGAUGAUAGCAAAUCUUUGAGCCUGGCAUGGCUGAGCUACAGAAUUUCAUCUACCAUGUGUUUUAAAUAUUGACGUCCCGAAACUCAACCGCCAGCCGCUCAGGCCUCUCGUUGUAGUCCCGAAAAAUAUCGAAUAAUGUAACUCUCCCGUCAAUUAUCACUCUCUCACCUGCGUGCGUGACUUUCGCUGAGACAAUGGAUAGUAAACUUUUCAAAUUAUACGCGAUCACAAGUGCAAUUUUCACUCUUUACUUGAAAAAGAGGAAGAACAUUAUUUCGAAUUGAUUAGCUGCCUUCGCGAGUUUUUCUCCCCGUUCUAGUUUUAAUCAACCCCCCGCUCGCGGCCCUCCCUUAGUUGUUAAUUUAGUCUUUACGAAGCGUUGACCAUGUGUACAAUUUCCUCGAUGGACUUUUGAUGGCUUUGCGAGAAAAUGGGCGUCCCUCCAAGAAACGGAACCCUUCGGUGGAGGAAGAAUGACCCGAUGUCGGAUCCUCGUUGCUAUGACAACUGCCGGGCUUUUCCUUCAAUCGGAAAUCCAUCAAAACGCCGGUCGCUGCUCUGUUAUGAGUGAUUCCCGAAAGAACUUCUUCACAUGGAUCGUUUCACUAAUCUUCUGUUGCUGGAAACCAGCUCAAAGAAACUACUCUCGUCAUUCAAAUGAGAAUUGCGAGAAGUUCAACCCCAGCUUGGAGAUGGGACCACUGACGCUGCGCGAUUAUGUGAGGACCUUGGAGCCUUACGACCCACAGCGCCACGGGUGGCGGGGCAACGAACCUCGACCCGUGAGCCGCGAAAUUGUGAUCAAGAAUUUUGAUAAUUCCUCAGAGACGUUGCUCUCUAGUUCUCCUUUAAGACUGCCUUACCUCCUACACAUCAUAUUAAUACUAGUUCUACUAAUAAUCAUAUCAUCUCUUCACCCUUAGCAGGUCAGUGUUUUCAUUCACACUUUCCACACCUUGUUGUGAUCGGCCGGUCGGUCUGGCUCGAAUAUUCUUGAGGAGCUGAUAUAUUUUGGAGCUCCUACUCUCGGGGACACCCCCCCCCCCUCCCCCGACUAACCUGAAGUCUCUUUAUAUGUGAGUUUUUCAAGGGCCCUUAUAGGAUUUCCGCUGGGCCCUCCUGAGCCUUACGUCAUCAUUUCUGGGGUGCUGAAGGACGCUAGCAAAGCCCUGACCAGACCGCCCCUGCGGACGUCGCGUCUUUAUUCAAUAGGGUGGCGCGUUUUUGGACUUUUUUUUUCGUUUUAAAAAUGG
rnacentral:lncRNA from 1 species